GAUGAACGCUGGCGGCGUGCUUAAUACAUGCAAGUCGAACGAGGAACUAUUUUCUUCGGAAGAAAGUUUCCUAGUGGCGAACGGGUGAGUAACACGUUGGUGACCUGCCCCGAAGCGGGGGAUAACAGUCCGAAAGGAUUGCUAAUACCUCAUGAUAUCAAUUGGAUUAGAUACCUUUUGAUCAAAGGCGAAAGCCACUUUGGGGAGGGCCUGCGUCCCAUCAGCUAGUUGGUAGGGUAAUGGCCUACCAAGGCUAAGACGGGUAGGGGACCUGAGAGGGUCGGACCCCCACACUGGCACUGAAACACGGGCCAGACACCUACGGGUGGCAG
rnacentral:rRNA from 1 species